rnacentral:rRNA from 1 species
AUUGAACGCUGGCGGCAGGCCUAACACAUGCAAGUCGAGCGGAUGAAGGGAGCUUGCUCCUGGAUUCAGCGGCGGACGGGUGAGUAAUGCCUAGGAAUCUGCCUGGUAGUGGGGGAUAACGUCCGGAAACGGGCGCUAAUACCGCAUACGUCCUGAGGGAGAAAGUGGGGGAUCUUCGGACCUCACGCUAUCAGAUGAGCCUAGGUCGGAUUAGCUAGUUGGUGGGGUAAAGGCCUACCAAGGCGACGAUCCGUAACUGGUCUGAGAGGAUGAUCAGUCACAAUGGAACGGCGACACGGUCCAGACUUCUACGGGAGGCAGCAGUGGGGAAUAUGGGACAAGGGGCGAAAGCCUGAUCCAGCCAGGCAGCGUGUGAAGAAGGUCUUCGGAUUGUAAAGCACUUUAAGUUGGGAGGAAGGGCAGUAAGUUAAUACCUUGCUGUUUUGACGGUACCAACAGAAUAAGCACCGGCUAACUUCGUG